AGAGUUGAUCCUGGCUUAGGACGAACGCUGGCGGCACGCUUAACACAUGCAAGUCGAACGGAGUUUAAAGAGCUUGCUUUUAACUUAGUGGCGGACGGGUGAGUAACACGUGAGCAAUCUGCCUUCAGAGGGGGAUAGCAGUUGGAAACGACUGAUAAUACCGCAUAACAUAACGGAGGCGCAUGACUCUGUUAUCAAAGAUUUUAUCGCUGAAAGAUGAGCUCGCGUCUGAUUAGGUAGUUGGUGAGGUAACGGCUCACCAAGCCGACGAUCAGUAGCCGGACUGAGAGGUUGAACGGCCACAUUGGGACUGAGACACGGCCCAGACUCCUACGGGAGGCAGCAGUGGGGAAUAUUGCACAAUGGGCGCAAGCCUGAUGCCAGCGAUGCCGCGUGAGGGAAGAAGGUUUUAGGAUUGUAAACCUCUGUCCUAUGGAAAGAUAAUGACGGUACCAUAGGAGGAAGCUCCGGCUAACUACGUGCCAGCCGCUGC
rnacentral:rRNA from 1 species